GAUCAUGGCUCAGGAUGAACGCUGGCGGCGUACCUAACACAUGCAAGUCGAACGAGGUAUUUUGAUUGAAGUUUUCGGAUGGAUUUCAAGGUACCGAGUGGCGGACGGGUGAGUAACGCGUGGGUAACCUGCCUCAUACAGGGGGAUAACGGUUAGAAAUGACUGCUAAUACCGCAUAAGCGCACAGUACCGCAUGGUACGGUGUGAAAAACUCCGGUGGUAUGAGAUGGACCCGCGUCUGAUUAG
rnacentral:rRNA from 1 species